GUGCUUACUUCAGCAGCAUAUACACUAAAAUUGAAAUGAUGCGGAGAUUAGCAUAGCCUCUGCACAAACUCGUGAAGCAUUGCAGACUUUU
rnacentral:snRNA from 1 species